CCACCUCGUCUCCUCUCCUCUGUCGGCCUCCCUUCAACCUCCUCUCCUCUCCUCUGUCGGCCUCCCUUCAACCUCCUCUCCUCUCCUCUGCCGCCGGGAUCCCCUCCCCGUUCUUCUCCGAUUGCUGUCGUCCCCAUCUCCUCCUCUCUCCCAUCCAUGGCGGGAUCCUCUGCCGUGUACACAUCCUGCAGGCCGCACGCGCGCGCAGCCUUCCUUGACCACCCGGCCGACCAGGCCCAUCACGGCGGCCAGCCCGGGCUGCUCCCCGGCAUGGCGUGGAGGCGGGGCGGCGCGGCGACCCCGCGGGCGAGCCUAGUGGCGGUGCGGACGGCGACGGAGGAGGCGGUGUACGAGGUGGUGCUGCGGCAGGCCGCGCUGGUGGAGGACCUGCAGGGGCGUGGGGCGGCACGGGAUGCUGAGGCGGGCAGGCGCCGGUGGCGGGAUGAGCAGCUGGAGCAGGAGGGUAACGCCGAGCUCAGCAUACAGUUUGGAGAAAUUCAUGGUUAUUUACCGUUUUGAGUUAGAUUUAUUCCAUUUGAAAUGAGGGCAUAUAUACUUGAUUGGGUAUACGGGAUCUGAAUUUCGGCGCACAUGAUCUUACUAGCUUCUAAAUCCGCUGAGCUGUACUGAUGAUGGUAUGUUUGCUACUCACACAUUUUAUCCAAAGGAUCCUUAUGUCGAAACGAUGGCCACUUCGAGGUUGCUAGUAUGUAUUUUCACACCAUAUGUAUGCUUGUGCUUACCUCCAUAUGUAUGCUUGUGCUUACCCCAUCCGCCUCGGCACAUUCAGUCCAAAUUUGACCAAAUACUGAAGAUGGUGCACUUGUGGGUGCUACGUGCCAUGCAUCUUGCCCAAUCUCACGGAAAUAAUCAGUAAAAGGCAGCAGUGUUUAGUCGUCCGCCACAGAGAAUCGUCGGCGAUAUUAAUUAGUAUAUCUCAGCCCAUUGUUCUUGCUAAUGAAGACUGUUACCAAUAUUAAUUAUCCUUUCUUGUCUCUCAAAACUAUCAGCCUGAAUCAUAGAAUGAUAUAUUUUCUUUAGGAUUCAUGUUUUCUCUUGUUAUUAUACAUUACAAUGAGUUCAUUGUAUUCAGUUUCUUUACAACUUCAUGCACCUGAGCUAUUUGCAGAAGGAGGGGAGCUGGCCUUCUUCACGUCUCGGGACAAUGUCUUCCUUGGAUUCAACAAGGAGGGGACCCAGCCUUCUUCACGUCUCGUGCAACAAGUAUGCACAAGCCUCUGGGGUGAUCGACGGGGUCUACCACAACCAGGUGGGUGUCGUGCUCUUCAACCACUCGGAGGCGGACUUCGCUGUGAAGCUUGGAUACUGCAUCGUGCAGAUGAUCGUCUAGGUGAUUGCGACGCCGGAGGUCGCCGAGGUGGAGGACCUCAAUGCCACCGCCCAGAGGGAGGGAGGGUUCGGGUCCACCUGCGUUUGAACUCCAAGCCUUGGUAGAUACAUCUAGAGAAGUGGUCUGGUUGUUUGCGUCUGAUGUUAAACGGGAUCUGGUGAUCCCUUGGAGUUGAGAUGUUCAAUGUUGCAGCCAUGAACGCCGGAAGUGCUAAACUGGUUCUGUGACCUUAGUUUUUUUUUGCAUUGGAUGUGUCUUGAUUUCCAUCAAUAAA